UUGCAUUGCAACAACACUUUGGUUAUUUUAAGGUUAAUUUGUGAACAUAUAUAUAUAUAUAUAUAUAACCGACGACAAGAAACUGUUUGUUAAUUUGAUUAGUGAAAGUGUUUGUUGUUUAUGACACAGAGGGUACUACAGGUGUAGCAGUUCGAAGGGGUGUCCGGCACGGAAACAAGUGGAAAGGAGCUGCGUGGACCCCACGAUGCUAGUCGUCACUUACUCCUCCGACCACAACCAUCCCUGGCCACCUUCUAGAAACCACGCCAGGCCCACCAAAAAACCUGAACCGGUUCCGGACCCGGUCGAACCGGAGGAGAAGUUCGCGGACGAGUCCAUGAUAACAACCGCGGAAGAAUUGGGGUGGCUGGGGGAGAUGGAAGCGACGUCGUCCACGGUUCUCGAAAGCCCGUUUAUGGCUACGACGUACCAUG
rnacentral:lncRNA from 1 species